rnacentral:rRNA from 1 species
GUGACCUGCGGAAGGAUCAUUACCGAGUGCGGGUUCUCACGAGCCCAACCUCCCACCCGUGUUUACCGUUACCGCGUUGCCUCGGCGGGCCCACUGGGGCCUGGCCCCGGUCGCCGGGGGGCUUCUGCCCCCGGGCCCGCGCCCGCCGACGCACCCUAGAACCCUGCCUGAAUAGUGAGUCUGAGUGAGAUUUGAAAUCAUUAAAACUUUCAACAACGGAUCUCUUGGUUCCGGCAUCGAUGAAGAACGCAGCGAAAUGCGAUAAGUAAUGUGAAUUGCAGAAUUCCGUGAAUCAUCGAAUCUUUGAACGCACAUUGCGCCCCCUGGCAUUCCGGGGGGCAUGCCUGUCCGAGCGUCAUUUCUGCCCUCCAGCACGGCUGGGUGUUGGGCGCUGUCCCCCCGGGGACACGCCCCAAAAGCAGUGGCGGCGCCGCGUCGGGUCCUCGAGCGUAUGGGGCUUUGUCACCCGCUCGGGAGGGACUCGGUCGGCGCUGGUCUUCCCUUUAGGCCGCCCUUCGGGGUGCGCCUCUUCCGGUUGACCUCGGAUCAGGUAGGGCUACCCGCUGAACUUAAGCAUAUCAAUAAGCGGAGGAAAAGAAACCAACAGGGAUUGCCUCAGUAACGGCGAGUGAAGCGGCAAGAGCUCAAAUUUGAAAUCUGGCUCCUUCGGGGCCCGAGUUGUAAUUUGGAGAGGAUGCUUCGGGCGUGGCCCCUAUCUAAGUGCCC